rnacentral:lncRNA from 1 species
UAAGAAGGAAGGAAUAAAUAAAUUAUUACUUGGUUAGAUCCCUAAUAGUCGUCAGCUCAUAAUAAGGAAUGAAAAGCAGAGACAGAGAGAUGAACCUUGUCUCUCCAAUAGUAGGCUCGGGUCUUCGGGCCCAUCACACAUGGGAGAGGAUUCCACUUGGAGAAAGAAGGCGGAGUGUCAGGAGACAACAUGGGAAGUUGGUAGAGGUAAAGGGAGUGAAGGCGACGGGAGCCACCGAGAGCCAGGACCACUGAUCUGAGCUGUUGGGUAGCACACCUAAUGCUAGUAAUGUGGAAGGCACUCAUCUUGAGCCACCUUGUAUCUUAGCUUGUUGAUGUGGGCCGCCCGUGCAAAAGUUCUGAUGUCGUAUCAUCAUCAUCAUCCCUAAAAUAAAUUAUUGCUUGGUUAAAUCCCUUAUCAUUAUCAUCUCAUAUUAACAAAAUGAAAAGUAGAGACAAGGAGAGAUGAACCUUGUCUUUCCACCAGUAAGCCGGGGUCUUCAGGCCUAUCACACAUGGGAGAGGAUUCCGCUUGGAGAAAGAAGGCAGAGCAUCAGGUGGCAGCAUGAGAAGCUGGUGGAGGUAGAGGAAGUGAAGGCGACGGGAGCCACCGAGAGCUAGGACUACUGAUUUGAGAUGUUGGGUAGCACACCCAAUGCUAGCGAAGUGGAAGUCACUCAUCUUGAGCCACUUUAUGCCAUAUCUUGUUGAUGCAGGCUGCCCGUGCAAAAGUCCUGACGUCCGCAUGUUUCAACACCUUGAAUAAGAGGUUAUUGUCUAAAUUUAUGAAGCCAUUUUCUUUGAUUUGCUCUUCUUCUUUUUAUUCCUUCUCCUCUUGUUUGAUUUUCUUCAUUUUUUGAUUGUCUCUGAUGGUGGCUGGAGGAUCAAAACUAAAGAAAAAUAUAAAAUGAAAAGUGCUAGUGUGGAGGAUGAUUUUAUUUUGUUAAGAGACUAAGCAUUUUUGUUUGUUAAGACUUAAAAGGCUAGUUUAUUAAUUUUAUUUCAAUUUAGGGUUUGUUGAAAUGAGUAGGAAGGAUUUGGGAGAGAAGGAAGAUGAAAAAGGAAGAGUUUUGUUUCAUUAAAAGGCUAGGAAUUUUUAACAAGUGUUGAAUUUAAGAUACCCUAAUUUUAAGAGUAAAACUAUGCCAUUUAGAAUAAUAAUAAAAAAUAUAUCUUAGUAUCAAUCUAUGAUAUUAUAAUAUCAAUAACCACUAGCAUUAAUAUGUUAAAGGCACUAAAAGUUGCUCAGCUCAUCAAAUAAUGAUACUUUUGUUUUAUUUAGUAUCAAUAACUUAGUAUCAGUGAAAGUCAUUUUUUUAAUAGUGGUAAAAAAAACUAAAUCAAUAUUAUUAAAAGACAAAGUAGUUUGUUUGCCCAAGUGACAAGAUUUACAAUCAAAUUAUUUAUUGUAAACAGUACCUAAGUGACCAUUAGAUCCUAACAAAUGUAAACGACUAUGACAGGCAUGUCCUAAUUGAGACUGGAGAGGUAGAGGCUGCAGAUUAAAAUGGUGAAGUGUCUUCAGGGAGGUAAAGACUAAUGAGUUCAAACAAACACUCAACUUCACACCUUAUCCCAAAUGUCUGGCCUAUUUGCGAAUCCUGUACAUAAUAAACAGAGAUAAUAAAUAAAACAUUAACACCAAGGUCACAUAAUUGGCCAACAGAUAAGAGGUUUAAAGUAAAUUUAAGAAUAAGAAAUGUGUAUGAUAAUGAAAGAUUGGGAAGUGAAGCAUGCCCUAGGUGACUAAUUUUCAUAAAGGAACUAUCAGUAGUUUGGAUAUCAAGUAAAGUAGGGGAAAUUAUUGUUGAGGAAAAAAUACUCAAAUCUACAAUUAUGUGAUUACAACAAGCAUAAUCAAAAUAACAAGGAGAUGCACCUGACGAAAUUGAAGAUGCAAAAAUGUUACCAGAUUAAGAGACAAGUGAUUAUAAGAGAGAUGCUAAAUCAUGUAAGGACUUUGAUGAAGAGGAAAGAGACUAA